rnacentral:rRNA from 1 species
GGAUGCGAUCAUACCAGCACUAAUGCACUGGAUCCCAUCAGAACUCCGAAGUUAAGCGUGCUUGGCGAGAGUAGUAUUAGGAUGGGUGACCUCCUAGGAAGUCCUCGUGUUGCAUUCC